rnacentral:lncRNA from 1 species
UGUAUGAUGGUCAGGUCAUGGGAGUGAGCAUUUCCAUUUCCUUGUGGAGGCUUUGAAAAGAGGAUGAUCUGAAGAUGCUAUGGAGAUUGCUAGAACGUCCACUGUCAGUCAGUGUGCAGUCCCUCUGUGGGAGGCGCUGUUGCCCGAGGACAUGGUGCCCCGACUGCAGUGCACACAGAUGAUGGAGUUAUGCUGCAAAGGGCCCUUGCUGUGCUGCUGUGCCUGGGAGGGGCCCAACAUGAGUCUGGCCAAGAGCAGCACUCCGCAGAUGUUGGCCAGAGAAAGUCAGACACUCGCCCAGUGAAGCACACACCUCAGUCAUCCUGUGCACACAUGGAAGCAACACACUCAUGCACAUGGAGGAUGCAGAGGGCCAUUCGCUGUGGUAGGCAUGCCAUCCGCUGGGUCUUUCCGGUUCCUGGGCCCUGGAGCAGCCUAGGAGGUCUGCAAGCCUGUGUCCUCCCGAUGAGCUCCAGGCCUGUGGAGUGCGCAGGAUGGGUGAGUUGCUGUGGCACACAUGCCUCUGCUGGCUGGGCCUGCCUUCUGGACCCCAGAGGAGCCUUGGAGGGCUGCCAGCCUUGUGUCCUCAUGACCAGCUCCGGGCUUGUGGAUGUUCAGGACAGUGGUACUGCCAUGUGA